GGUAGCUCAGUUGGUUAGAGCGUGGUGCUGAUAAUGCCAAGGUUGCAGGUUUGAUCCUCAUAAGGGCCA